CCUACGGGUGGCUGCAGUGGGGAAUAUUGGGCAAUGGGCGCAAGCCUGACCCAGCAACGCCGCGUGAAGGAAGAAGGCUUUCGGGUUGUAAACUUCUUUUCUCAGGGACGAAGCAAGUGACGGUACCUGAGGAAUAAGCCACGGCUAACUACGUGCCAGCAGCCGCGGUAAUACGUAGGGGGCAAGCGUUAUCCGGAUUUACUGGGUGUAAAGGGCGUGUAGGGGGGGACGUAAGUCAGAUGGGAAAACCACGGGCGCAACCUGUGUCCGGCAUUUGAAACUGUGUUUCUUGAGUACUGGAGAGGCAGACGGAAUUCCUAGUGUAGCGGUGAAAUGCGUAGAUAUUAGGAGGAACACCAGUGGCGAAGGCGGUCUGCUGGACAGCAACUGACGCUGAGGCGCGAAAGCGUGGGGAGCAAACAGGAUUAGAUACCCGAGUAGUC
rnacentral:rRNA from 1 species